AGAAACAGGACAGUCAAGACAUGGAAAAUAGUGAAGAAAUGGAAGACAUGGAAGAGGAGAUAUUCUUCCCAAAACUCAAGUUCUUGAAAUUGAAAUCCUUGAAGAUAGUUAGGUGGAAAGGCUUAGGACAUUGUUUUCCCAGUCUUGAAAAAUUAGUUUUGGAUGAUUGUAAGAAAUUACAAAAGCUCCCUUCUUGUUUAGGGGAAUCUCCUCUUAAAUUGAUUGAGGUGCAUCGAUGUCCAAACUUGGAUAGGAAUUCAUUUGAAGGCAUUGAGGAACAGCAGAUGGAUUAUGGAAACAUGGAUCUGAAAAUCCUUAUCUCGGAAGAAUUUGAGGAGUCUUCUUCAUGGUCAGAUGGAGAUUCAGACGGAUGGCUACCAGAAGAAAUUGAUGAGUCUUCUUCAUGGUUGGAGAUUCAGACGGAUGGUCAGGCUAAUGAUCAUCUGCCAUAAGAGGUACAAGUGCCUAGAAGGAGGGGGAGCAAAAGGAAGAGUGAUGCUGGGAAUUUCUUAUAUUGGCUGGAAGGGCAAUUGGCUAUGUCCAAGUGGCCCGUGGCCAAUUCGAUAGCGUUAUGCAGUAAUCUCAGGCUCGUCGGGGGUGCAUAAAGAACUACAAGACACUUUUUCCCAACUUGAAGCUAUUCGUCAUGAGAUUCGAACUAUAUCUUUUAUGGCCACGUGGACAAUGCUGUGAAUACAUCUCCUAUCAAUGGUAUAACUUCUUCUUUUAACCUUUGUUCUUGAAUAGACUGCAUUUUCCCUUUUCAGGUUUUCACCUCAUUACACGUCCCACCCUACUCUUUUUUUUUUCCGACUUAGAUGAAACUGGGUUGGGAAAACCAGGCUGUUUGACAGGCUUGGCAUAUCCCAGAUUUGAACAAGUUUUUGUACGACAAUCCAGCCAGCAGGCUAGCUCAGAGGAUUAAACUCAGUAUUAGUUGCAACUAACCACAUCAACCUUAUGUUCUGUCAAAGAGAAGCUGCCUGCUGUAAAACGGGUUUUGCGAAUCUCCGUUGUGCUGUUCUACAUUCGCUUCUUGUAAAUACAUGAAACAUCAUUUCAAAAAGGAAUGUAUGAUGGUUUAACCCUGACCAAGACCUUGGUCUAUGCAUUGUACUGGCACCUUCCUAUUAGAUUGUGAAUGUCAGAGAUGCCCUAUGGUGCACUCUUCCUUUUUAACUGAUGAAUGUCUCAGGCUAAAAGCCGUUUUUCCUCUAGAUUUUGGUGUCUCUACCAUUCAGCCUGUUCAGAUCACUGUAUAGGCAUGUAUCUA